rnacentral:tRNA from 1 species
UUGCAUUAGUAGCUCAGUGUAGAGCGUCGGUCUUGUAAACCGAAUGUCGGAGGUUAAACUCCUCCCUCUUGCUC